rnacentral:rRNA from 1 species
GACGAACGCUGGCGGCGUGCUUAACACGUGCAAGUCGAACGGAAAGGCCUUUUCGGAGGUACUCGAGUGGCGAACGGGUGAGUAACACGUGGGUGAUCUGCCCUGCACUCUGGGAUAAGCCUGGGAAACUGGGUCUAAUACCGGAUAGGACCGCACUUUAGUGUGUGUGGUGGCAAGUUUUUUCGGUGUAGGAUGAGCCCGCGGCCUAUCAGCUUGUUGGUGGGGUAAUGGCCUACCAAGGCGGCGACGGGUAGCCGGACUGAGAGGUUGGUCGGCCACAUUGGGACUGAGAUACGGCCCAGACUCCUACGGGAGGCAGCAGUGGGGAAUAUUGCACAAUGGGCGCAAGCCUGAUGCAGCGACGCCGCGUGGGGGAUGACGGCCUUCGGGUUGUAAACUCCUUUCGCCAGGGACGAAGCGUUUUGUGACGGUACCUGGAGAAGAAGCACCGGCUAACUACGUG